rnacentral:tRNA from 1 species
GUAGAUGGCUCAGCAGUCAAGAGCACUGGCUGCUUUUCCAGAAGACCUGGGUUCAGUUCCCAGUAUCUAUG